AGAGUCUCUUUCUCUCUUUUUCUUUUAGCAGACUUUGUUUUUUCUCUAAUAUCUUUAGCUAUAAUUUCAUAUCAAAAUAACAACAAUGUUGAUCUGCUCACUAUUUUAACACCUCCUGUUGCACACAGGCAGGUCCUUUGGCCAAGAGAAGAGAGUGGGUUGAUCUUUCUAUAGCAGCUCCAUCAUACAGAAAGUCAGCUACAGAUGGAGAGAUUCGAUGUAAUCCAUGUAAUUUUCCUGAUAAACAUCUAUGUCUGCCUUCCUUUGACCAUGGCAGUGAGCUGUUGGGUGUGUUUUGUGGUACGAAAGGAGCAGGCCCCCAUCACCUACUACACAAACCUGUUAUUCUACAAUCUCGUCCAGUGCAGCAUGAUGAUCCCUUUCAUUGUCCAAGGAAACAGUGAACUACAUGGCGUUUUUCAGUAUUCUCCUCUAAUUUUUUCCUGUGCUGUGAUUGCUAGUGUUAACUUCAAGAUGUGCAUUGCUACUGAAAGGUGUUUGGUCAUCACCCGUCCACAGUGGAACUGCAUCAGACAAACUAAAGGUUCUGUGCUGCUCUCUGUUCUGGUCUGGACCCUGUCUGUUAUCACUGUACCUCUUGCUAUGAUUAUACCCCCUGUGCUUAUUUUUUUUGCCCUCUUUCCUUCUUUCCUGUUCAUCCUCACUUUGGUUUGGACCCUCAAAGCUCUGCCUGCUGCCACCUCAGUGCCCACUGAAGAAAAACGAAGAAUUGUUGGAACCUUAGUUCUCUUGUUAAUUAAUUAUCAUCUGACGUUCUUUCCCCUGAUCUUUAUUACUUUCGAUUUGGUUUUACCAAGAACGACAGGUUUUGGUUUCCAAGAUAUUAUUGUUGAUAUUGUCCUAUAUUUAUUUCUGCUCAGUCCCUCGAUGGAUUUGAUUUUGUUUUUUCUCAUGCUGAAAGGCCCCAUCAACAACCUGCUUGUAUCUCUGUGCUGUUGCUGUAUGGACAACACUGUAGGAGAGGUAGCUGCAGAUACAACGCUGGAGCUACAAAACUGCAGCUACAGCACCGCAGCAGACGUAGCUGCACGGGGUGGCUGUAGCUCAGGUCAGCCACUAACCAGAACGUCGGUGGUUUGAUCCCAGUCUGCUCCAGGCUGCAUGCCAAACGUGUGUGCCUUACGUUGAGUUUUUUUUUGUUAAUGCUGCAUAGUUUUCACAGUGGCUUUGGAGAGAAGUCUUCAAAUAAACCAGGCACAGAAAACCACUUGCGUCUGCCUCUGCUUCGAGGGAAUUAUAGUUACUAUAUAAUCCCAAAAGUAUUUGUAGCCCAGCUAGAACAAAAGAGCAGUGGAAAGUAAUUUUUCGGCGUAUGAUGUAAACAAUUUAGCUCUUUCUUUCUUUUUUUGUUUAAAGGAAGAUGUAGACAAAUAAGAUUAUCUGUUGUCGUAUUACUUUGCCAAUCAGCAAUGAGCACCCAGCUACCCUUGAUGCUGACCUUGAUCACAUGACUUUCUGUAGUUGCCAUUUCGUUCCUGUUCAUACAAAGCGAUGUGCCCAAGAAACUAAUGUUACCAAAGUCGAAUUGCUAAGAGUUGCAAGCGAUUCCACUGCAGUUUUUUCUUUUUGGGUCAUUCAGAAUUUCAUCAUGUCAUCGGUGAGUAAGAAAAGUGGGGAAAACCUAAUUUGAUAAGGAGAAAAGGGCAGGGAUGGAAAGUCUGCUCGCAGCUAAGCUAACAGCUAAGCUAACAGCUAGACCUCAGCUUGCAGAAUUGAAUGUGUUUCUGUGAGUGAAAUGGCUAGCGAUUGCAACCGUAUUACGUUUAAGAAAAAAAGGGAAAGAAACAAAACCAAAAAGGGUCGUAAUCAAUUUUAUAUGUAACAAUUAAUUUCAAUUGUAAGCCGAUUCUUGUAUUUUCAGUUAUGUUCUUUGAGUUGUUUAUAAUGUGUUUUUUAUGUUUAAUGGACAACAGAUGGAAAUUAGCCCUUGGCUAUAAUCUGGUAUGUUUACGUUCAUGUAAUUUUUUUUUACAUGUAUGUUCAUUAACAUGCACUGUCCUAAAUAAAAUAAAAAUAAAACCCUUCAGGUUGAUUAAAAUUAUAGCUCACUUAAGAGGAUAUGAUGCUGCAGUGAUAUAUUUUGUUGUACAACAGAGCUAGUUGAAUUAAGAUAAAAAGUUACACUGAUACUCAUUGUUCAUUACAAGUAAGUGUGGCUGUUUCACAACGGUGUGUGUGACUAUAUGGACCUGUGACCUGUUUAUAGGUCAGGUUUUUUUGUUAUCUGGUAAAAGGAUGACUCGACAGACGGACCCAGUCUGAAGCAAGCCUCCAUCGAGGAGCAGCGAUUCCACAGUUCCAGUUAACUGGAUGGCGAGCCAACCCAAAAGUGAAUAGGAUUUGCUGAGGUUUUAUUCAAGCCAAAGCUUCGUCCCCAUUGAAGCUUCAGAUACCUGCAGGACUACGAACUUUCUUUCUUCAUCGGAGUGUGGUAGGACAAACGUUAAACAAACUGAACGGGCCCCAACGGUCCAUCAGUUACCAGGCAUUAUUCACUCAUAGAUUUGACUAAGAGAAAGCUGUAUGCAGGCACUUUUAUUUAGUUUGUUAUUUUGGGGGGAAAUAUUUUGUAUUUUAUUUUAUUGCUUUCAUUACAUUUGUUUGCAGCUGCUGUGUGUCAAAUUUGUGAACAGUCUACUCUGGUGUGGUCCCUCCUUAUUGAUGUUUUGUCAUGGGCCUGGGUCUGUGACCCGGGGAUCAUGUGUUAUUUUUGAGUUUAAUGAAUAUUAUGAGUUUUAUUCGUCUUUCUUAAUCAUUUAUGGUUGUGGUGUGAUCUGCUCCUCGUUCCUUGCUUCCCUGUGGGUUGUUGUGUCAGUUUUGUUGCCCCACCAGGUCUGGAGAGUCCCUGCCUUGGAACCAGCCACACCUGUGAUAAUCACUCACCUGUUGCUGAUCUGCCUAAUCAAGGGGCUCUACUUAAGAGCGCAGUGGAGCAGCAGUCGGCGUGGGAUCGUUAAACUAGAAAUACAGGUGAUUAUGGAGACGUGUGGAGGGAGCAGUACACAGUUGAACACAGGCACCGAGGAGGACGAAGCACAACCACGCAUCACGGAGAGGAAUCACGGCACGGGGAAUUGGGAAAGCACACACUGUGGACUGUUGGCACUGUUUUUUUGUGUAAAUAAACACACUUUCUCCAUUCUAAAAGUCCAGCAUUUGGGUUCUCCUUCAGCCAACCUUGACAUGUUUAUACCUUGGGCUCCUGCCGAUCCUAGAUUUUCGGAUACUGGCUAGUGGGAAUUUGGUCAUUCUUGAUAAUAAAUCGUAAGUUACAUAUUCGUCUGUCUUUACACACAUAUUGCAUAACUCACUGUUACGUUGCACUUUUCUAUUGCACUGUUGUGUCUGGUGUUGCACUGUCUUUGUUUUGUUUUUUUGCAAUUUUUGCAACUUUAUGUAGUCGUGGGUUGCUUGUCUGUUAUGUCAUAUGUAGCACCAUGGUCUUGGAGGAACGUUGUCUCAUUUCACUGUGUACUGUGUGAGUACAAGAAAAUAAUUAUUAUAAUAUGAUGUGUUAAAUUUGUUUAGAUCAGAUGAAUAGGAAAGGAUUUGUCUGUGUGUUUCAGUUUGGUUUAGCUGUAGGCCUGAGAGUGCGUGUAAUUGUUUAGAGAGAAAGGAAUUUAUGGUGUGGUGUCAUAAAAGGAGACAGGAAGCUACAGUUGGGGGGUUGCUGAUGUUGAUGCUUGUACCUUUAAUAAAAACUCAUAAUUGCCAUAACUUGGAAGUAGGUUUGCAGGAGACUCUCCACAUGCUGAUCUGUAAAUGUAAAACAACAAGAGGCCAAUGACCCAGUGGAUGCAGAGUGGGGGUCUCAAUAUUUGUAGUUUGUUAACUCUGUUUUAUAUGUGGUCUAAAGGAAUUUGGUUUAGCUUGGGUGAGGAGAUUACUUUUAUGACCGGCAGGAAGUCACGUACACAGACACACACACAGUGCUUUAACUGUUACGCACCCACACCCACA